UACGUAGGGGGCAAGCGUUGUCCGGAUUUAUUGGGCGUAAAGAGCGUGUAGGCGGUUUGGUAGGUCCGUUGUGAAAACUCGAGGCUCAACCUCGAGACGCCGAUGGAAACCAUCAGACUAGAGUCCGGAAGAGGAGAGUGGAAUUCCUGGUGUGAGCGGUGAAAUGCGCAGAUAUCAGGAGGAACACCGGUGGCGAAGGCGGCACUCUGGGCCGGUACUGACGCUGAGGAGCGAAAGCGUGGGGAGCGAACAGG
rnacentral:rRNA from 1 species